GGUACUUGUACACGUUGCGGUGCAACGAUGGUUAAAGG
rfam:Lachnospiraceae bacterium 9_1_43BFAA genomic scaffold supercont1.1, whole genome shotgun sequence.